CUAAAAGACCUUCCCUUCCUGGAGCCGAGGAUUUGUGAGGAACGAAAGAGAGAAAACGGCAAAUUGGAAUGAGUGCGGCUGACACUUGACGAAUCAGUUACAUAAGAGCAGAGAUUAUUCUUCUAAAACUAAUGAAAACAACAAAGCUAAAAUAGAAAUGGCGAACAAACAACUCCAUAUAUUAUCUUCAAGAUCCAGAUCUCCAAUCCUCCUCUUCACAAUCUGUCUUUUCGCUUUUUCUCUUCUCUUCUUACUCUUCUCUCUCUCCACCCGUCACCCAUCAGCCUCUCCAUACCCUAACACUAACCCCAAUCUCUCUCUCAAACCCGAAACCUCCUUCGUCGCUUCCCUCGAGCACUUCCUCGAUCACAAAUACCCGACAUCCUCCUCCUCCUCCUCUCCGUUUCCUACAGUUAGCGAAGAGGAUGUGUCAAGAUUCGACGAUCAAGUGUUUUCCAAAGAGCGCGAUCGAUUUUACAGAGAACCCUACUACCCGUUGGAUUUGCCAAUUAGGGUUUACCUUUACGAGAUGCCGUCCAAAUUCACCUACGAUUUGCUUUGGCUGUUUAGAAAUACUUAUAGAAACACUGAUAAUCUCACCUCUAAUGGCAGCCCCGUCCAUCGAUUAAUCGAACAGCAUUCUGUUGAUUACUGGCUUUGGGCGGAUCUGAUUGCGCCCGAAUCGGAAAGGUUGUUGAAAAGUGUGGUGAGAGUUGAGAGGCAGGAGGAUGCGGAUCUGUUCUACGUGCCUUUUUUCACAACUAUAAGCUUUUUCUUAUUGGAGAAGCAGCAAUGCAAGGCGCUUUAUAGGGAAGCUCUGAAGUGGGUGACAGAUCAGCCUGCAUGGAAACGAUCGGAAGGAAGGAAUCACAUAUUUCCUAUUCAUCAUCCAUGGUCUUUCAAAUCUGUUCGUAGAUAUGUCAAAAAUGCAAUUUGGUUGUUACCAGAUAUGGACUCCACAGGGAACUGGUACAAACCAGGACAAGUUUUUCUGGAGAAAGACCUAAUUCUUCCUUAUGUCCCCAAUGUGAAUUUGUGUGACACCAAAUGCAUAUCAGAAAGUGAAUCAAAGAGAAGCACCUUGCUUUACUUUCGUGGGAGGCUUAAAAGAAAUGCAGGUGGGAAGAUACGUGCAAAACUUGUAGCAGAACUAAGUGGUGCCGAGGGCGUGUUUAUAGAGGAGGGGACAGCUGGAGAGGGAGGGAAAGCAGCAGCUCAAAUUGGCAUGCGCAAGUCCAUUUUUUGCUUAAGUCCAGCUGGUGAUACACCGUCAUCUGCCAGAUUAUUCGAUGCCAUUGUCAGUGGUUGCAUACCAGUUGUAGUCAGUGAUGAAUUAGAGUUGCCUUUUGAAGGAAUACUUGAUUACAGAAAGAUAGCUUUAUUUGUUUCUUCCAGUGAUGCUGUACAACCAGGUUGGCUAUUAAAAUUCUUGAAAGGCAUUAGCCUUGCCCAAAUUCGGGGAAUGCAAAGAAACCUUGCCAAGUAUUCAAGGCACUUUAUUUAUUCCAGUCCAGCUCUACCCCUAGGACCUGAAGAUUUGGUUUGGAGAAUGAUGGCUGGUAAACUGGUGAACAUCAGGCUUCACACACGGAGAUCACAGCGUGUGGUGAAAGAGUCUAGAAGUGUAUGUGCUUGUGAUUGUAAACGUGCCAACUUUACAGUCCCGGUUCUUUGAUAAUGCAAGGCUUGAUUUCACCAAGCUCAAACAAGCUGUGCGGCCAAUUCUACUAGAAACAGGUUCAAAGUUGAUUGCAUUGUGAUUAAUGGACAUAAUGUUGCAAACCUUCUUAUAAUAGGACAACAUCAAGGCUAUCCAAAAAAGACAACAUCAGGGGAAAAAAAGCUGAAACUAUUCGGCCAUUGAUCUCUUCUUAUGAUCGGCAAUGACUUACACCGCUACUAGAAGGAGGAAAUGGUGUAACCUAUGAACCCAUCCAUGUACCAUCUCUCUUCGCCAGUAACCAGAAAGACAUUACACAAAUCAAGUUGUCACUGUUAACUUUUACAACAUUGUUCAAUCACUAUUUCGCCACUGCCACCCACUAUUUCAGCCUUUUUUGGUCUACCUCAUCCACUCUAAAAUUUUGGUUUAUUACUGGUUUGAAUGUGUUGUGAUGAAAUUUUUGGGUUUGAAUAAACUUUGAGAAUGGUUGUGCA